rnacentral:rRNA from 1 species
AACGAACGCUGGCGGCGUGCCUAACACAUGCAAGUCGUACGAGAAAUUACGCUUCGGCGUGAGAGUAAAGUGGCGCACGGGUGAGUAACGCGUAGGCAACCUACCCUUGUAUUGGGGAUAACCCCGCGAAAGCGGGGCUAAUACCGAAUAAGACCCGAUUUCGGUGGGAAUUGGUGAAAGUCGGCCGCUCGAAGAAGCUGACGUGCGAGGAUGGGCCUGCGUCCUAUCAGCUAGUUGGUGGGGUAGUGGCCUACCAAGGCGACGACGGGUAGCUGGUCUGAGAGGAUGAUCAGCCACACUGGCACUGGAACACGGGCCAGACUCCUACGGGUGGCUG